rnacentral:lncRNA from 1 species
UUGUGUUUGUGUUAGUUAGAGUGCGUCUAGUUUGCUUGAAUCAGUUUGUAAAUAAAGAGCACUCAGGAUAAUCUCUGGUAUGGAAAUGAUGAAUAGUUGCUCAACUAUAAUUCCUUUCAAGUACCUAGUUUUUGACCUUGAACUAUCAUGAGUUUUGUAAAUGAUUGUUUUGACCUAGGAUUUACUCUAAACUUGAAACUUGUGGGUUAUGAAUGCUUAAUCUAAGUCUAUGUGAUUGACGGAUAUGAUAUGAGAAGGUCUGAUCUAUUGUUUAUCUUGUUCCUAGUGACACUAGAGUUCUAGAGAUUUAUCUUUUGAAAAACAUAAAAUUGCUACAUGAUGAGUACUUGUAUGAUGAGAGUUUUAAUUCCUACUAUAGUCAUACAUAUGUUUGCUAGACUAGGAAAACUAGCUCAUAAGAGGCUUUCUUUGUAUUGAGUUUGAUCAACCCAUGAGACCCUUGUCGAGAGGAUGGUCAUACUUCCAAGAUCAAGAUCACUUACACCCACAUAUAUCUUACUGCUCCUACCCUGGGAGUAUGCAAAAACAUGCCUUUCCACCCUAUCUAUCUCCUAUACUAGGAGAAGAUCCAAAAAGAAUGUUAGGUUUCCAAAUAAAUGCUCCAAGAUUGUGAUUUAUAUCUUCUCCAAGUUCAUUGUAUCCUAAGUUAGAGGUAGGAAAUCCUUUGUCAGAAAAAUAGAGAAAAAAGAAAAGAAAAAAUAAAGAAGUCUAUGAUCUGUAUGCCUAGAAGUUCAUCAUUGUCACCAAAAAAGGAGGAAGAAGAUAUCCCAAGACCUCCACAACAAAGUUCUUCAUAAAUUCUUCAGUUGGAGGCAGUCUCUCUAAGAGCAAAGUAGAAUUAGGUUAGCCACCAAAUAUUUCCACACACAUGCACAUCAUGAUCUAAGGGUAUGGUCUCCCCUCCAAGGAUCCCGAACUUGACUAAGCAACACAUGCAAGGUAAGUAAGCUACAUCCUUGAAUUACCCUCAGCUCCAUAUAAGCCUAUUAGUUAUAGCGUAAGAGAGAGGAGGCAUGAUGUUACUCUGCCUUAUUCCAAAAAUAUCACAUAUUCUAAGUAAAAGAGAGAAGGCAAAACACCAUCAUUGCCUUGGAAAAGAUCCAGAAAUACCACAUAUGAGAGACCAGAAAGGGUCAUACAAAAGGAAUCUCUGAGUUUUAUUUUGAAAAUCUACAAAAACUCUAGAAUGAAGGUUGAUCAAAGAAUUUGAAACGUAGCGCUUGACUUUAAUGUUCUUGUUGAUGCAAAAGCGGAUCUGCAAACACAAAGGGCUAAUACCCAGUCCAAACGUUAAGGCGUGCCAGCCGAUUUGACCUUACUAUUAGCAAAGGUGGUAACUCGAAUACUUUGGUCCCGACAACAGCGAUGCGCCCGGAUGUCACGGCCAAGAGGUACUCACGCGGAACUCGAGAACACGCCGAGAUUAAGUCGACGAAUCCCUAAGAACUCGUAAUGAAAAAGAAAAGUAUGACGAAGUCGUCGAAAAGUAGAUGCUGGAAUAUGAGUAAAAACUUGUGUUUGAUUGAUUGAUAGAUAUCUCAUUACAAGACCCUAGGGUCUAUAUUUAUACCCUGCUCAAAGAGCUACAACCAGACAUGACUAGAAUUCGAAUUCCAAAUUACACAGAAUCCAUAUACAAAACGAUUUAAAUAAAUAAGGAAAACAUAAAGCUACCCCCCGUGACAAGCUGGAACACUUCCACAACCGAUCGGCAGCUUCCGGACUCUCCCUCCGUAUCAUCGGCGGACUCCCCUGUCAUAGUCAUCGGCAGACUUCCUUGUCGUAGCCAUCGGCACAGACACAUCACCACCUAGGGACUUAGUCACGUUCAACCCCUCCUUCGUCGGCAACCAUCCUCAUCGGCAACUCAUCCUGUAGAUAGAACACCGCCGUCUUAUCCUGCAGGCCUAUACUCUACCAAACAUGGACACGUGCCCAAAAACGGUGUCAACACAUGCCCCCCAAUUUCGGAGUAUGAAAUCAUUAAUGCUCCGAAAUUCUCUGCAGUAAUGAUGCCUUUUCCCGCAAUUAAUGCUCCUAAUCUAGUAAUCGACAACCUCAAUCUGAACAACUCUGAUCUUAUCCUUUUGCAGAUCCCUCGAAAUCCUCAACUUCUCAAACGGACAUUUCCUUUUU